AUUGAACGCUGGCGGCAUGCCUUACACAUGCAAGUCGAACGGUAACAGGUCUUCGGAUGCUGACGAGUGGCGAACGGGUGAGUAAUACAUCGGAACGUGCCUAGUAGUGGGGGAUAACUACUCGAAAGAGUGGCUAAUACCGCAUGAGAUCUACGGAUGAAAGCAGGGGAUCGCAAGACCUUGUGCUACUAGAGCGGCCGAUGGCAGAUUAGGUAGUUGGUGGGAUAAAAGCUUACCAAGCCGACGAUCUGUAGCUGGUCUGAGAGGACGAUCAGCCCGACUGGGACUGAGACACGGCCCAGACUCCUACGGGAGGCAGCAGUGGGGAAUUUUGGACAAUGGGCGCAAGCCUGAUCCAGCAAUGCCGCGUGCAGGAUGAAGGCCUUCGGGUUGUAAACUGCUUUUGUACGGAACGAAAAGCCCCGGGUUAAUACCCUGGGGUCAUGACGGUACCGUAAGAAUAAGCACCGGCUAACUACGUGCCAGCAGCCGCCGCAG
rnacentral:rRNA from 1 species